rnacentral:rRNA from 1 species
AACGAACGCUGGCGGCAUGCCUAACACAUGCAAGUCGAACGAGACCUUCGGGUCUAGUGGCGCACGUGUGCGUAACGCGUGGGAACCUGCCCUUAGGUUCUGAAUAACUCCCCGAAAGGGGUGCUAAUACCGGAUAAUGUCUUCGGACCAAAGAUUUAUCGCCUUUGGAUGGGCCCGCGUUGGAUUAGCUAGUUGGUAGGGUAAACGCCUACCAAGGCGACGAUCCAUAGCUGGUCUGAGAGGAUGAUCAGCCACACUGGGACUGAGACACGGCCCAGACUCCGACGGGAGGCAGCAGUGGGGAAUAUUGGACAAUGGGCGAAAGCCUGAUCCAGCAAUGCCGCGUGAGUGAUGAAGGCCUUAGGGUUGUAAAGCUCUUUUACCCGGGAUGAUAAUGACAGUACCGGGAGAAUAAGCUCCGGCUAACUCCGUG